rnacentral:rRNA from 1 species
AUACGGAGGAUGCAAGCGUUAUCCGGAUUUAUUGGGUUUAAAGGGAGCGUAGGCGGUUUGCUAAGCGGGAGGUGAAAUGCCGGCGCUCAACGUCGGAAGUGCCUCCCGAACUGGUGGACUUGAAUGACUCUGCCGUGGGAGGAAUGUGAUGUGUAGCGGUGAAAUGCUUAGAGAUUACGAAGAACACCGAUUGCGAAGGCCUCUCACGUAAGGUUGAUGGACUCUGAGGCACGUAAGCGUAGGGAACAGACAGAGAUAGAUACGCUGGUAAUGCUCGCUGUAAUCGAUGAUGAGUAACUGUAGGCGAUAUACAGUCGGUAGCCAAGCGAAAGCAAUAAGUCAUCCACCUGGGGAGUACGACCGCAAGGUUGAGACUUAAAUGAAUUGACGGGG